rnacentral:lncRNA from 1 species
AAAAUAUUAAAAAUCAGAAAUAGAAACUAGAAAUUAUUUGGGAAAUAAUGCAAUUGGUCCCCUAAUUUUUGGAUUAAAAAUGAAAGAGAUAUUGAUUUUUGAAAUAAAAAGGAAUUUAAGAAAAUAAAAAAAGAAAUUAGAAAUUGGAAAAAAACGAGAGCCCUUGGAUCUGAGCUCAUUAAUUGAGCUGGCAAAUCCAAGGAUCCAGAGGCGCGCGCUC